rnacentral:rRNA from 1 species
ACGGGAGGCAGCAGUGGGGAAUAUUGCACAAUGGGCGAAAGCCUGAUGCAGCGACGCCGCGUGAGUGAAGAAGUAUUUCGGUAUGUAAAGCUCUAUCAGCAGGGAAGAUAAUGACGGUACCUGACUAAGAAGCCCCGGCUAACUACGUGCCAGCAGCCGCGGUAAUACGUAGGGGGCAAGCGUUAUCCGGAUUUACUGGGUGUAAAGGGAGCGUAGACGGCAAGGCAAGUCUGAUGUGAAAACCCGGGGCUCAACCUCGGGACUGCAUUGGAAACUGUCUAGCUAGAGUGCAGGAGAGGUAAGUGGAAUUCCUAGUGUAGCGGUGAAAUGCGUAGAUAUUAGGAGGAACACCAGUGGCGAAGGCGGCUUACUGGACUGUAACUGACGUUGAGGCUCGAAAGCGUGGGGAGCAAACAGGAUUAGAUACCCUGGUA